CGGCCGCGGUAUCCUGACCGUGCAAAGGUAGCAUAAUCAUUUGUUCCUUAAUUAGGGACUUGUAUGAAUGGCCACACGAGGGUUUAACUGUCUCUUACUUUUAAUCAGUGAAAUUGACCUCCCCGUGAAGAGGCGGGAAUAAAAAAAUAAGACGAGAAGACCCUAUGGAGCUUAAAUUAAAUUACCCUGGGUAAUAAAUUUUGGUUGGGGUGACCUCGGAGCAUAACAUAACCUCCGAACCAAGACCCACUUGUCAAAGUCAAUCAAUAUUGAUCAACGGAACAAGUUACCCUAGGGAUAACAGCGCAAUCCUAUUUGAGAGUCCAUAUCGACAAUAGGGUUUACGACCUCGAUGUUGGAUCAGGACACCCAAAUGGUGCAGCAGCU
rnacentral:rRNA from 1 species